UAAUACGAAGGGGCUAGCGUUGUUCGGAAUUACUGGGCGUAAAGCGCACGCAGGCGGUUUGUUAAGUCAGAUGUGAAAUCCCCGGGCUCAACCUGGGAACUGCAUUUGAAACUGGCAAGCUAGAGUCUCGUAGAGGGGGGUAGAAUUCCAGGUGUAGCGGUGAAAUGCGUAGAGAUCUGGAGGAAUACCGGUGGCGAAGGCGGCCCCCUGGACGAAGACUGACGCUCAGGUGCGAAAGCGUGGGGAGCAAACAGGAUUAGAUACCCUGGUAGUCCACGCUGUAAACGAUGUCGAUUUGGAGGUUGUGCCCUUGAGGCGUGGCUUCCGGAGCUAACGCGUUAAAUCGACCGCCUGGGGAGUACGGCCGCAAGGUUA
rnacentral:rRNA from 1 species